UACAGAGGUCUCAAGCGUUGUUCGGAUUCAUUGGGCGUAAAGGGUGCGUAGGCGGUGGGGCAAGUCAGGUGUGAAAUCCCGGAGCUCAACUCCGGAACUGCACUUGAUACUGCUUUACUAGAGUACUGGAGAGGAGACUGGAAUUUACGGUGUAGCAGUGAAAUGCGUAGAUAUCGUAAGGAAGACCAGUGGCGAAGGCGGCUACCUGGACCAGCACUGACACUGAGGCACGAAAGCGUGGGGAGCAAACAGG
rnacentral:rRNA from 1 species